rnacentral:rRNA from 1 species
UGGACUUGGACCCUGCCGUGUCACAAUGGCUGGUCUGAAAUGCAUGAGUGCACCCUGCCAUAGCAGCGUCUUCAGUGUGAUAAGUAUCUUCACUGAUCCAAGCUUCCUCUGUGGAACACGCUUGUCUGGUGGGCUCUGGGCUUCCAACCGUCCCCAUGGACAACUCUUGACAAUUUGACCUCAAAUCGGGUGGGAUUACCCGCUGAACUUAAGCAUAUCAAUAAGCGGAGGAAAAGAAACUAACAAGGAUUCCCCUAGUAACGGCGAGUGAAGAGGGAAAAGCUCAAAUUUUGAAUCUGGUACCUUUGGUGCCCGAGUUGUAAUCUAGAGAAGUGUUUUCUGCCUUGGACCACGCAUAAAUUCCCUGGAAUGGGGUGUCAUAGAGGGUGAGAAUCCCGUUUGUGGUGUGGACUACCUUGGCUUUGUGAUACACUCUCAACGAGUCGAGUUGUUUGGGAAUGCAGCUCAAAAUGGGUGGUAAAUUCCAUCUAAAGCUAAAUAUUGGCGAGAGACCGAUAGCGAACAAGUACCGUGAGGGAAAGAUGAAAAGCACUUUGGAAAGAGAGUGAAACAGUACGUGAAAUUGUUGAAAGGGAAGCGCUUGAGGUCAGUCACAUCUGUCAGGACUCAGCCAGGCUUCUGCCUGGUGUACUUCCUGGCCGGUGGGUCAGCGUCAGUUUUGACCGAGGGAAAAAGGCUUGGGGAAUGUGGCUGUCUUCGGGCAGUGUUAUAGCCCCUUGUUGUAUGUCUCGGUUGGGACUGAGGAUCGCAGCACGCCUUAUGGCCGGGGUUCGCGCCCUCGGUACGUGCUUAGGAUGCUGGCAUAAUGGCCUUAAGCGGCCCGUCU